GUGACUGGUGUUGAGUUCGUAUGUAGGAACUUCAGAUCAGACCACAACAGAACGGACGAGCAUCAUCUGGUGUUUUAGCUCCUGGGACAUUCAAUGUUGGGUUUCACUGAUCACUCCACAAGGAUACAUCUCCUAAAGCUGAUGCAAGAAAGUCUUUAGACAGGAAGGACAACAUAAACUACUGUGGCAAGAUGACCUGAAGUUUUGUCAAGGAUGGAGGUGGGAGUGGAAAAGUUUGUGGCUGCAGGAGUGUUGCCUGAAGUGUGGCAGUACUUUUACCCACUGCACGGUCAGACACUGUAUGGGUGAAUAGGGCAGGUCUGCUGGAGUUUUUCAUGAACCCUGAAUGCAUCUUUUUCCAUGUGACAUGUUUUCAACCACGGAUCUUUCACUGAGCAAGAGAUACAAAGUAUGUUGAAGUGUUUUGUCUCAAAACAGUGACGUGAAUGUACUGUACCGAAGUGAUGCCACAAAGAUGUUUAAGACAAGCUGUGCCAAAGGCAUCAUUUUGAGACACAUCACCAGUUCAUGAUCUGAGCAGGAUCCCAUCCCUUUGGAAAACUUAGCCUCACUAUAACAGCAUGAAAAUCACACCUCCAAGAGGCGCCCGCACACAUAAGGAUUUUCUGUCGGUUGGCGAUGUAAACUGCCUAAAUGACAGGAAGACAUCCGCAGCUGGCGGGACAAAACAUUGUACAUCCUGAAGGAACUGACCAGGUGAGGACAACUGCAAAUUUAUGCUCACGAAUACUCAUGAUUUAAAAACAAGUGUUUUUCAGCAAGUCCAUAAAUGUCAAAGGCAGAGGCCACUCAGUUUUAUUUUUUGCCAACAGUUUCCACAUGAAUGCCUCGAGCUAUUGUGGUGGAGGUGGGGGACUUUACGUCGUAUAAAACUGCCAUAUCUUCCGUGUUGUUUCAUGAAAAGAUGAUCACAAAAAAGUCCUCUGUUGGAUAAGUUAUGUCCUGCUGGCUACAACAGCUGAACAACAGUGCCAUCUUGUUAAGCAGUCGGCUGGUGAACUCACAAAUCAAACCACCUCUUGUCCAAUGAAAGCAUCUAUUAACCCCCUGCGCCCCCUGCGAGCGGAAGAAUAAUGAAUAAAUAAGACCUUCCUGGACCGGUCUGCAAAUACAUUCCCUGGAUCCUUGCUGCCUCACAGCCUGGGAGAACCACCGAACUCCGGGCUGGUGUCGGUAAUUGUUUGCUCUUUACAUGAAUAUUCUUGUCAUGGCCUCAGCAGUUUUGGAUUUACGCGCGACCCUCUGAGAUACUUCAAUGAGCAGCAGACGUGGAGCGCGACCUGCUGGAUCAAUUUCAUUUAGCAGCGAUUGAUCAACGUGAAGUUGAGUGAGUUAACGUACAUGGAGGGACAACUCUGUCCAUCUGCAGCCAUCUCCUUCAUUUCACAGCUGAAUCUCUGCUGGAAUCGAUCGGGAGUCGGCGGCCGGAGAGGCGCUUGAUGAAGGGGUCCGGUGUUUCACUCCGCAAGGCUACAGCAAGCGUCCGUUCGCUGUGAGUCAUGGCAGAGCUUUGACCAGCGGUUGGAUUUGGACAAAGCAACUUCAACCAGUUUCUGAGUCUUUUUACUGAAGUGUUACAGUUGAGUCCAUCUAACCCGACACCAAGCUGAGACCGAGGCCAGGGGAUGCAGAGAUCAAAUCCAAGACCAAGACUUCGCUGGCACCAGACCUAGUCAAGAUCAACACCAAUGAGCAGAGCCAGACCACACUCACACAUCUAAUUCCUACUGAAAUAAACGCAUCAUUUUCCCAAAAUAAAUCAAGAACUGAGAUGCUUUCGUUGGACCAAACUAGUAGUUUGUC